AGAAUAGCUCAGCUGGUAGAGCGCAACCUUGCCAAGGUUGAGGUCGCGGGUUCGAAUCCCGUUUCUC
rnacentral:tRNA from 1 species